rnacentral:rRNA from 1 species
GACGAACGCUGGCGGCGCGCUUAACACAUGCAAGUCGAACGGAAAGGCCUGCUUUCCCUUGUGGAUUGCGGGUACUCGAGUGGCGAACGGGUGAGUAACACGUGAGUGAUCUGCCCCCAACUUGGGUAUAAGCCUGGGAAACUGGGUCUAAUUCCCGAUAGGACUGCAGGGUGGUGCCUGUGGUGGAAAACGAUUUUCUAGUGGUUGGGGAUGAGCUCGCGGCCUAUCAGCUUGUUGGUGGGGUAAUGGCCUACCAAGGCGGCGACGGGUAGCCGGCCUGGGAGGGUGGACGGCCGCAUUGGGACUGAGAUACGGCCCAGACGCCUACGGGAGGCAGCAGUGGGGAAUAUUGCACAGUGGGCGGAAGCCUGAUGCAGCGACGCCGCGUGGGGGAUGACGGCCUUCGGGUUGUAAACUCCUUUCGACCGCGAGGAAGCCACCUGGUUGGAAGGGUGGUGACGGUAGUGGUAGAAGAAGCACCGGCUAACUACGUG